AGUGUAAAGGCAUAAGGGAGCUUGACUGCGAGACCUACAAGUCGAGCAGGGUCGAAAGACGGACUUAGUGAUCCGGUGGUUCCGCAUGGAAGGGCCAUCGCUCAACGGAUAAAAGCUACCCCGGGGAUAACAGGCUUAUCUCCCCCAAGAGUUCACAUCGACGGGGAGGUUUGGCACCUCGAUGUCGGCUCAUCGCAUCCUGGGGCUGUAGUCGGUCCCAAGGGUUGGGCUGUUCGCCCAUUAAAGCGGUACGCGAGCUGGGUUCAGAACGUCGUGAGACAGUUCGGUCCCUAUCCGUCGUGGGCGUAGGAAAUUUGAGAGGAGCUGUCCUUAGUACGAGAGGACCGGGAUGGACAUACCUCUGGUGUACCAGUUGUCGUGCCAACGGCAUAGCUGGGUAGCUAUGUGUGGACGGGAUAAGUGCUGAAAGCAUCUAAGCAUGAAGCCCCCCUCAAGAUGAGAUUUCCCAACUUCGGUUAUAAGAUUCCUCAAAGAUGAUGAGGUUAAUAGGUUCGAGGUGGAAGCAUGGUGACAUGUGGAGCUGACGAAUACUAAUCGAUCGAAGACUUAAUCAAAA
rnacentral:rRNA from 1 species